rnacentral:rRNA from 1 species
UUGAUGGAGAGUUUGAUCCUGGCUCAGGACGAACGCUUGCGGCGUGCCUAAGAAAUGCAAGUUGAGCGAGGGAUCACGCUGACCAAAGCUUCGGCAGAGGUCUUGUGAAACCUAGCGGCGAACGGUCGCGUAACACGUAAGCAACCUGCCCUGAAGCGGGGGAUAGCCCACCGAAAGGUGGAUUAAUACCGCAUGUGGAUGCUUUGUCGCAUGGCAGAGUAUCUAAAGCAGCAAUGCACUUCAGGAUGGGCUUGCGGCCUAUCAGCUAGUUGGUGGGGUAACGGCCUACCAAGGCGACGACGGGUAGCUGGUCUGAGAGGAUGGUCAGCCGGAUUGGGACUGAGACACGGCCCAGACUCCUACGGGGGGCAGCAAUUAGGAAUCUUGCGCAAUGGGCGAAAGCCUGACG